AGAGGACCGGGACGGACGUACCUCUAGUGUGCCAGUUGUCACGCCAGUGGCAGGGCUGGUUGGCUACGUACGGGAGGGAUAACCGCUGAAAGCAUCUAAGCGGGAAGCCUGUUUUGAGAUGAGGUUUCUUUUGAGGUUCCCUCUAGACUAGGGGGUUGAUAGGCCAGAUCUGGAAGCGUAGUAAUGCGUUAAGGUGACUGGUACUAAUUUUACCGAGUAAUAACA
rnacentral:rRNA from 1 species